rnacentral:tRNA from 1 species
GCUGGAGUAGGCAUAGUAUAACUUUGCCAAGGUUGGGGUCGAGGGUUCGAAUCCCUUCGCCCGCU